rnacentral:rRNA from 1 species
UACAGAGGUGGCAAGCGUUGUUCGGAAUCACUGGGCGUAAAGGGCGCGUAGGCGGCCCGCACAAGUCUGCGGUGAAAACCCCCGGCUUAACCGGGGGCCGGCCGUGGAAACUGUCGGGCUGGAGGCUGGGAGAGGGCAGCGGAAUUCCCGGUGUAGCGGUGAAAUGCGUAGAGAUCGGGAGGAACACCGGCGGCGAAGGCGGCUGCCUGGACCAGUCCUGACGCUGAGGCGCGAAAGCUAGGGGAGCAAACAGG